UUUCAUAUUGUUUGAGAAAAGUGGGUUCUCUUAUUGAAAAUGUCUUAAUUAAAUCCUAAAUUUUGUAAAAUCUUCUCAAGUGGUCAGAAACAAAGUCAAGAGUAACUUAUGUGUUGCAUAGUAAAUAUAUUGAUCUUACGUGGAAAUAAAAUUUAAAUUAUGAUGUGAAAUUUAGUAAAGUGAAAGAAAAAAAAGAAAAAAAGAAGAAGCAA
rnacentral:lncRNA from 1 species